rnacentral:rRNA from 1 species
CGAAUAAGCGUAUAUGGUGGAUGCCUAGGCAGUUGGAGGCGAUGAAGGACGUUGUGGUCUGCGAUAUGCACGGGGGAGCUGACGAACAAGCGAUAUAUCCCGUGAUUUCCGAAUGGGGAAACCCACCUCCUAGAGGUAUCUCAUACUGAAUACAUAGGUAUGAGAAGCUAACCCGGUGAACUGAAUCAUCUAAGUAACCGGAGGAAAAGA